rnacentral:lncRNA from 1 species
CACACCUGCUCCCCGAGGCUGAUCGUUAACAGCCGUGGGCAGGGGUUGGGCCAGGGUACAGCUGUCAGGACCUCACUGGACAGGACCGGAGAGGACCCCGCGUAACCGCGGAACAGACACUCCCGGCAGUGGCUGCCGCCGCGGCACUGCUACGGGACGAGCCGGAGCGCUUGGCCAUGGCGGCCCCUGCCCAGCAUCGAGCUCCACGCCUGCGGCCCAUACCCCAAACCAGGCCUGCUCAUCCUGCUGGCCCCGCUGGCCCUGUGGCCCAUUCUCCUGUAGGGACGCCCAACCAGCCACCUCUAGGCGGCCGCUGGGACUGGCCUGCCCCAUUGAGCAACAGAGACGCUUGAGAGCCGCCCGCCUCCAUUCCUUGACUUCACUCAGAAAUGGGUCCAGAAAACUGAAUCCCACCAGGACUGGUUUGGAGCAACCAGAGACCGAGGUUUCACCUCCAGGGAUUCCAUGAAGAGCCUCAAUGGAGAUGCCACAUCCUACUGAGUUAAAGAUGGGCUGAGGAACUUGGGUACCCACAAGUCUGCCUUGGGAAUCAAAAGAAAAUAUUUACCUUUAGUUUGGUUCAUUAAAUGCAUGAAGUCAAAAUAUGACCAGGUAGUGUGCGAGGCCUCCUUGUUCUGGGUAGAGCUGGGAAGGGCAGGGAUGGCAAGCACUCCCUAAGUCUGCCACCUGUAGCCUUGCAGAGUUCUCUAGGAAACGCACUGCUGCUCUGGUGUUCAGUGCAAUGCAGUAU